UCUUUAAAUCUCCUCAUUUUCCACCAGCAGCGAGUUUUCACGGUGACUGUGGUGACGAAUCACCAGAAGAAAAAUAAAAACGCUAAAUUCACCCGUCGAGACUGGCUGGAUAAAUUCAACUGCUGGGGAGCUGCUACAAAAAUAAUA